GCAUCCCCGGGGUGCGAAGGGAGGACACCGACAGAGAAUCCCUUGGGUCAACGAGCGCCGAGAGCGACCGAGCAUCCCCGUGGUGAGGACGACGGUGCCAGGAGCAGCACGGAGAGUGAGAUAGCAUCCCCCGGAGGUGAGAAGGGUGGACACCAACAGAGAAUCUCCCAAGGGCAGCGGCGAAAACGGUGCCAGGAUCGGGAGGGAGCUCCGCCGACGCUACCGGAGCAUCCCCCACAGGUAUUGUAUUUUCCCAAAUAGGGUACGGAUCCCCACGGAGAGCGGCGGAGCAUCCCCGGGGUGAGAAAGGAAGACACGGACAGAGCAUCCCCCGGGGCAGCAAGCACCGAGAGCGGCCGAGCACCGCCCCAGAGCGAGGGACACGGAACCGGGAGCACCACGGGGACCCAUGGAGCAUCCACCCGGGUCAGCGGUGAAGAGGGUGCCGGGAUCGGGCGGGAGGAGCACGGACACCCACCGGAUCAUCCCCCACAGGGUAGGAAUCCCCACGGAGCAGCGAGAGCUGCGGAGCAUCCCCGGGGUGCGAAGGGAGGACACCGACAGAGAAUCCCUUGGGUCAACGAGCGCCGAGAGCGACCGAGCAUCCCCGUGGUGAGGACGACGGUGCCAGGAGCAGCACGGAGAGUGAGAUAGCAUCCCCCGGAGGGUAGGGAUCCCCACGGAGAGCGGCGGAGCAUCCCCGGGGUGAGAAAGGAAGACACGGACAGAGCAUCCCCCGGGGCAGCAAGCACCGAGAGCGGCCGAGCACCGCCCCAGAGCGAGGGACACGGAACCGGGAGCACCACGGGGACCCAUGGAGCAUCCACCCGGGUCAGCGGUGAAGAGGGUGCCGGGAUCGGGCGGGAGGAGCACGGACACCCACCGGAUCAUCCCCCACAGGGUAGGAAUCCCCACGGAGCAGCGAGAGCUGCGGAGCAUUCCCGGGGUGCGAAGGGAGGACACCGACAGAGAAUCCCUUGGGUCAACGAGCGCCGAGAGCGACCGAGCAUCCCCGUGGUGAGGACGACGGUGCCAGGAGCAGCACGGAGAGUGAGAUAGCAUCCCCCGGAGGGUAGGGAUCCCCACGGAGAGCGGCGGAGCAUCCCCGGGGUGAGAAAGGAAGACACGGACAGAGCAUCCCCCGGGGCAGCAAGCACCGAGAGCGGCCGAGCACCGCCCCAGAGCGAGGGACACGGAACCGGGAGCACCACGGGGACCCAUGGAGCAUCCACCCGGGUCAGCGGUGAAGAGGGUGCCGGGAUCGGGCGGGAGGAGCACGGACACCCACCGGAUCAUCCCCCACAGGGUAGGAAUCCCCACGGAGCAGCGAGAGCGUCGGAGCAUCCCCGGGGUGCGAAGGGAGGACACCGACAGAGAAUCCCUUGGGUCAACGAGCGCCGAGAGCGACCGAGCAUCCCCGUGGUGAGGACGACGGUGCCAGGAGCAGCACGGAGAGUGAGAUAGCAUCCCCCGGAGGUGA